rnacentral:rRNA from 1 species
UACGUAGGGUGCGAGCGUUGUCCGGAAUUAUUGGGCGUAAAGGGCUCGUAGGCGGUUUGUCGCGUCGGGAGUGAAAACACCGGGCUUAACUCGGUGCUUGCUUUCGAUACGGGCAGACUAGAGGCAUGCAGGGGAGAACGGAAUUCCUGGUGUAGCGGUGAAAUGCGCAGAGUAUCAGGAGGAACACCGGUGGCGAAGGCGGGUCUCUGGGCAGUAACUGACGCUGGAGGAGCGAAAGCGUGGGGAGCGAACAGG